GCCUACAUGAAGCUGGAGUUACUAGUAAUCGCAGAUCAGAAUGCUGCGGUGAAUGCGUUCCCGGGUCUUGUACACACCGCCCGUCACACCACGGGAGUUGGAGACGCCCGAAGCCGAUUAUCUAACCUUUUGGAAGAAGUCGUCGAAGGUGGAAUCAAUAACUGGGGUGAAGUCGUAACAAGGUAGCCGUAUCGGAAGGUGCGGCUGGAUCACCUCCUUUCUAAGGAGA
rnacentral:rRNA from 1 species